CUUCAACGAGCCGAGCCACAACGGCUUCUGCGGGUCCCGGUCCCGGCCGUACGUCGCGAGCAGCGCCUGCGCCUC
rfam:Streptomyces sp. MTSC 1 75, whole genome shotgun sequence.